ACCUAAUUAACUGUUUAACAAUUCAGUUUAAAUAUAUUGAACUUAUUUUAUUUUUAAUACAGAUCAAAAAUUUCUCCUAUCUCAUUACAUUCUUUUUUUCAGUAUUUAUGUGGUUGAAGGCUCCCGUGGAAGGUUCGCACGCUCGUCGCCGUUGAAGGCCCGUCGUUGAAGGAGAGUUCCAACGGUGACUCUGCCCUAGCCCACGCGCGACCGCUGCCACCGUGACUCUGUCGACAAAGGAGAGUUCCAACGGUGACCCUGCUCUGACCCUUGUCGUUGUUGCUGUAUCGACUGUCGAGGGGCCUGUCUUGUUCACUGCCAUACCGACCGUCGAGCUUUUCUUUCAUGGCGGAGGAAAAUUCUCAAUUGAACAACUUGCAAGAAGAAAAUGGAGCCUCAGAGCUUCAAAGUCUUGUAGAAAGAGUUGGUGACCUUCCUCCAUUGUCUCCAAAAGAAGGAGAUGACAGUAAAGGUAGUAAUUAUGCAAAAUGAAUCACCUAAUUUAAAUUAUUUAAUUGCC
rnacentral:sRNA from 1 species